UCUUCCUCUCUGAAAUAAAUACAUAAAUCUUUUUAAAAAAAAAAUAAAGAAUAUGAGGGAAUGAAUCAUGUAGAAAUUUGAGAGGAAAAGUGUUCCAGAUAGGUAAUAGACAAGGCUCUGAGGUUAAAAAUAUGCCUGGAUUAUUUGAGGAAUCAGUUGAGGAGAACAGUGUGGGGAAGCAGAGUAAGUGAGGUAAUUGUGGUAGGAAAUGAGGUCAGAGAGCUAAGAAGGGGACAGUUGGUGAAGGGUCUCUGGCUUUACUCUGAGUAAAAGGAGAGCAUUGAAAGUUUUUACAUUGAGGAAUUUUACAUUUUUACAUUGAGGAAUAACACACUCAGCUUUCCCAAAAUAACUGAGUAAAUUUGAGGUUGUGGCUGUUUUCACUCAGGUGGGGAAUUCUUCAGAAACAACAGGUUCGUAUAUUAGAAGGAUGGACUCAGUUUGAUAUCCUUCAGGUUUUAGAAACCACGUGUUAACAUUUGGAGGAAAGGCAUGGGCCAAUUAUUAUUACAUUUGUGAGUGAUCAGUAAAGAAAAGGAGCUUGGUUAGAGUGAGAAGAGUAGAGAGAUGUUGGCAUUAUUUGAUGACCACCACCAUUUGAGGGAAGGCAGAAGAAGAGAUACUCCAUGAAAGAGAUCAAGAAAGCCCAGUAAGAUUCUGGAUAAACUUUUAAGAUUGCACCAAGAGAAUUUCUUGAUGGAUAUGGGUAUGAGAGGCAAGCAGUCAGAGCAUCUUGAGACUCUUGUCUACAACUAAUUUGAACUGACAGUAAAAGGCCCAUUUUAUUUAUUUAUUUUAUAUAUUUUUAUUUUUAAA